AGCCUAUUAGCUCAAUAUGGUAUAAGCAUUGUGCGACCACACACGAAGAUGUAGGUUCAAUUCCUACAUAGGCUA
rnacentral:tRNA from 1 species